rfam:Apaloderma vittatum contig31596, whole genome shotgun sequence.
GGUCGAUUAACUCAGUCAGUUGAGCGUGGUGCUAACAAUGCCAAAGUCGCGGGUUCGAUUCCCGUUCGGUCC